rnacentral:misc_RNA from 1 species
UAAACAUUGUUUCAAUAGACCAAAUCGAAAGUGAGACCAGAAGAUCCUAUAAUCUGGUCUCAUACCCUUUGAACCAUUGAACCAAAACCAAACCAGAUCGAACCGGCUGCUAGGCCUAACAAAGACUUCAAAUUGAGAGCCUCCCAAGAUGCCGAAUCAAUGCUAAAAUGUGUUUUGAGAGCGAAUUUAUAGCAGACAAUAUAGACGACUAAACAGCGUCCUAUGCUGCUAAGAAUAAAAUCGAAAGACAUCCAAAUUGACCAUUGAAAAC